CAGUCGCCGCGGUAAUACGGAGGGCGCGAGCGUUACCCGGAUUUACUGGGCGUAAAGCGUGCGCAGGCGGUUUGUUAAGACAGAUGUGAAAUCCCCGGGCUCAACCUGGGAACUGCAUUUGUGACUGGCAAGCUAGAGUGUGGCAGAGGGGGGUGGAAUUCCGCGUGUAGCAGUGAAAUGCGUAGAUAUGCGGAGGAACACCGAUGGCGAAGGCAGCCCCCUGGGCCAACACUGACGCUCAUGCACGAAAGCGUGGGGAGCAAACAGGAUUAGAUACCCGGGUAGUCCCUGUCUCUUAUAC
rnacentral:rRNA from 1 species